ensembl:lncRNA
AAAGAAAAAAAAAUUCUUAAGGCAGCUCCAAAGACUCUUAAUUUAUGCUGUUCUUACUAACAAGAACAUCUGACUGAGAAAACUGUUUGUUAAUUGACCUUAUGAUUGACCUGUAGAGAACCAUGUGCUGGGCAUUAGAAGUUAUCUCACUAUAAUGCCCUCCUCAUCAAGGCUUGCUGCUUUAGUUAGCUCAUUAGGAAAUGAAGGCAUAAAUUAAACUUGUAAAGAGGAAGUUGAUGUGGGAAGGACUCAAAGUAUUUGGUAUGCUGUAGAGGUGAAUAGAAUAUGUGGGCAUGCAUAUUUAAAGCAGGAAGAAAACUAUCUUUUGAAUGCACCUUAAUAGAUACACUAAUUCCAGAGUCAUCGUUGUGAUCCUUUGUUGAACUCACUCCUGUAUGUUCAUGGUCUCACCAGUGCUGAGUAAAGGGGAAGGAUCAUAUAUCUGAUCACUGGUUCCUCCUAACUUUGCUUCCUUCAGGGCUGAGCUUCAAAGCUUGGGCUCAUCCAUUCCUUUUCAUGGAAGCACAAGUGUGCUGCAGAAGAUGUCUCUCUCAGAAAACUUUGGCUGUGCUGGAAUAGAGGUGAUCUGUCACACAGCACCCUCUUUGAGGGCUAAGGAUGGUUAACAAGAGAAGAUCCACCCAGUACAGCAGGGCAAGGUGAUGUUUGCCAACAGGCUUCCCAGCCUAGAGAAGUGAGGUUUAGACUCAAAAGUGAGGUACUCUGGCUGUAGUGAGAGGUAGAGGAUGAAGAGAGGUUGGAGCAACAAAAAGCUCAAGAAUAACAAAACUGGGUUUAAAGAGCCCAAAGAGUUUUCCACAAAUGUUUAUACAGUAAAAAGAAGGAAGAUCCAGAGCUCCACAUGUGGUUUCUGAGAUCUGAUACUGUUCAUAUAACUGAAAUGUGGUGGGAUGUCUUGUGCAAAUGCUUGGUUAUGGUGGAACAAAACCAAACGCCUUCUUUAAACAACAUAAGGAAGGCUUUACAUCACACAUCACAUUCUUGUUCCUUGGAGAUUUUAAUAUCCCUAACUUCUGCUGGAAGGACAACACAGAAGGACACAGG